AAUGGUAGGAGAGCGUUCUAAGGGCGUUGAAGCAUGAUCGCAAGGACAUGUGGAGCGCUUAGAAGUGAGAAUGCCGGUGUGAGUAGCGAAAGACGGGUGAGAAUCCCGUCCACCGAUUGACUAAGGUUUCCAGAGGAAGGCUCGUCCGCUCUGGGUUAGUCGGGUCCUAAGCUGAGGCCGAUAGGCGUAGGCGAUGGAUAACAGGUUGAUAUUCCUGUACCACCAAAAUUCGUUUUGAGCGAUGGGGGGACGCAGUAGGAUAGGCGAAGCGUGCUGUUGGAGUGCACGUCCAAGCAAUAAGACUGAGUAUUAGGCAAAUCCGGUACUCUUAAGGUCAAGUUGUGAUGGGGAGAGGAAAUUUUUUCCUCGAGUCGUUGAUUUCACACUGCCAAGAAAAGCCUCUAGCUAGAAUUUUGGUGCCCGUACCGCAAACCGACACAGGUAGUCAAGAUGAGAAUUCUAAGGUGAGCGAGCGAACUCUCGUUAAGGAACUCGGCAAAAUGACCCCGUAACUUCGGGAGAAGGGGUGCUCUUUAGGGUUAACGCCCAGGAGAGCCGCAGUGAAUAGGCCCAAGCGACUGUUUAUCAAAAACACAGGUCUCUGCUAAACCGUAAGGUGAUGUAUAGGGGCUGACGCCUGCCCGGUGCUGGAAGGUUAAGAGGAGUGGUUAGCUUCGGCGAAGCUACGAAUCGAAGCCCCAGUAAACGGCGGCCGUAACUAUAACGGUCCUAAGGUAGCGAAAUUCCUUGUCGGGUAAGUUCCGACCCGCACGAAAGGCGUAACGAUUUGGGCACUGUCUCAACGAGAGACUCGGUGAAAUCAUAGUACCUGUGAAGAUGCAGGUUACCCGCGACAGGACGGAAAGACCCCGUGGAGC
rnacentral:rRNA from 1 species